rnacentral:lncRNA from 1 species
GUCUGCUAUAUACAGCCUUCUUCUCGAAAGUGGACAAACAAGAAACAAUUGUUUCCGCUAAAAAAAUCACAUGGAGAAACAAAAUAUGUUUCUGAAUUUAUUGGGAAAUAUGUUUGCUUCGUGACUAUUGCCUCUUAAUAAACAUAUACCCAUAUGAUGGCACGUGUAGUUGACCGACUAUUGCAAGAGCCGGAAUAACGAGAAGCGAAACAAAUGACAACUUAAGUUUGUUAAGACCUGAUUCCACGACGGCGAAAUUCUUCGUGAGAAAUUCUUCGUGAGAAAUUGUGUCUGCGACAUACGGAUGGUUGCACGUGAGUGAUUCUAUUGAAUUUUCCACUUUUUCCGCUUUCGCAGUGAUUAGAACUGACUUCUACCCACUAGCUGGUAAAGCGAAUUUUUUCCUUGCGAAGCCUAAUUUAUCUUUACUGCGCAUGCACCUAUAAUUCAUUCCGCGCGAAAUUUUUCACAUUUCGCCGAAGAAAACGCCCGUGGAAUCAGGCCUUUUUUUUCCCUUUUUUUUUCAGGCCUUUUUUUACGUCGUAAACUCUGUUGACAUUGUGUAUAUAACUAUACUGUAUUUUACUGUGUAUGUCAAUUGUUAAAUACUAAUAAUGUCAAUUGUUAAAUAUUGUAAUGUACAACAUACUACGUAUUGUAAUACUUGUUGUGUCGUAUUAUGUACUCCGUUGUAUAUAUUGUAUACUUUGUUAUCUUAUAAUCAAACUCACUUGUAGCAUAGAAGAGCCACUAUGUGGAAAUGCUAUUAAAUCAUUAUUAUUAUUAUUAUUAUUAAUAUCCAUUGCAAAACUGUAACAUUCCAAACAUUCCAUACAUUCUAUUAUACAAGAGCGCGCCUGCAAAAUGUAGACGUUUUCAGUAGUGAUCUCCGUUAUGUACAUUUCGUUUUAAGUCAGACACCUAGCUCUAUCCCCAUAAUAUUGCACGAAGCAUGCAAAGUUUGCAUAACUUUUUUGGGCCACGACAAACCAUAGCACACGUGUCAUAAAUGUGUCAAAAGCAUAGAAAAACUGCGUUCAUGGAAACAUAAAAUCAUAGCGUUAGAAGAUGGAAUCACCACCGGGCCAAAGUCAAAUUUUGUCAUGGGCACCCUAAUUUCCCUGGGUACUGUUCAGGGUAUGUUAGUUUUGGCAUUUUUGAAUAUCAAUUGUAGCUGUUUUACGGUUACACAUUAUUAUAACAGUGUGAUCAGACAUUUUCAGGGCGUGCUUCUGCUCGGCUAAACUUGCACAAAAAUGUGCAGUGAUAAAACAUUUUAAUAAAUUACGUAUGAUAUAAAACCAUGUAUCAGUUAAUAAAACAGCAUUCAUUGUCAAGAUUGAAGACACUAGAUUGGAGUGUCGAAACGUUGGGUCGUGGUGAAUGCAGUUUGACUGGGCUUUGCAUUCAUUUAUCAAAACCAGAGAAGCGAGCGAAAACAUGACUGAUAUUAUACCUGGUUGCCGUGAACUCACAAACUUUAAAUCAUUAAAUUUAUUACAUUCUUUGUCAAUGGUGCUCACAAGAUUGAUUUGUAAAAACAGCCUAAAUCGUAUACAAUUGCCAUUGGUCAACCCCGAGAACUAGGUUCGUUUCUCCUGGCUAAACAAAGUGUGCA